rnacentral:pre_miRNA from 1 species
AUCACCUGGGGAUCUUGUUAAAAUGCAGUAUCUCAUUCAUUAGGUUUGGGUGAGGUCAGAGAUUCUACAUUUCUAACAAGAUCCCAGAUGUUGCCAA